rnacentral:misc_RNA from 1 species
GUUACUUUGUAUCAGCACUAUGUGAUGAAGCUGAACAGAGAAUUGUCUCUGCAGAAUGUGAAGAUUGCGCAGCACAUUUAGGUGGAUGUAAGCAUGCAAUAGCUUUUAUAGCUUGGCUGCACAGGUGUAGCGAAGACCCUCCCUCUACUAGUAUCGACUGUUACUGGAAGAAGUCCAAAUUAUCCACGAUAGGCACAACCCUAAAGUAUAUAAGAGUUAAAGAGUUAGGUAGUAGUUCAAAAGCCAAACCUGCUCCAUCUGCCAAUACUCGAAGCCUUCUACCAACUCUAAUAAACCAUAGCAAAAGCAUCGGUCACAUGGAAAGUCAACUCAUGAAAUACUACAAGGAAAAAAGCAGAGCAGAAAAAUUAUCCCUUCAUCAUUUAGUAAAUACACUACCAAAUAAACCGGCUAACGCCACAUAGUUCAUCAAUUAUUGCAGGAGUAUGAUGGACACAUCAUCUUGCAAUAAAGCUAAUCUAGCUACAAUUGAUCAGAAUGACUGUCCGCUGUGGCAUGAGCUACGGUAUGCUAGGAUUACUGCUUCGAAGAUGCAUGAAGCAGCACACUGCAAAGUUUUCGAAGGCACUUUAUGUGAAAGUAUAAUGGGAGCAAUUAAAUUAAAGGACACAGAGGCGAUGAAAAGAGGGCGUUUGCUAGAGAAAAAAGUAUUGAAAGAAGUCGAAAAAAAAAAAUGAAACUAAAAAUUAAUGGGUGUGGUUUGAUCUUGAACCCUAAUUAUCCCGUAUUUGGUACAUCUCCUGAUGGUGAGAGUAUUGAUUAUUGAGUAUUGAAAAUCAAAUGUCCAUCAUCUGAGAAAGCCAUGAGUAGGUAUGUUUCAAAAGAUGUUAUAUCCUCAAAAUAUAUGGCUCGGAUCCAAAUGCAGAUGUAUUUAAAAAAAAAAAAGGGCUUUUCUGUGUUGCACAUCAUGAUUUUGAAAUAUCAAAGGAAGUAGACAUUUAUAUUGUAAAUUAUGAUGAGAAUUAUUGUGCAAAUAUUUUGGAAAAAAGCAUGCUCUUCUGG